GUGGUGAAAAGCUGCCUUUUUUCCAAAUACUUUAAUGGCAAUCAGGGAAGUUGAUGAUUGAUGAAAGAAGACUGGAGCUGGAUCAGAAAAUAGACAAGUGCUAAUGUUAAAAUUAUUGCUGAAGAAAACAGAAUUCAACUUCAAAGUGAAAUCAGCAGGUGUAGACCUUGCACUCUCUGGUUAUGUCAAGUCGUAGAUCUGGAAAUAACCUUGAGAAAGAGUAAUUGUGAAGGACUGGUUGUGAGUCAUCACCAACAAAAUGACACAUGAAGAUUGACAGAUUGCUGGGAGUUAAUUAUUGAGUGCUUAAACCAUGAAAGAGAAUGUGAGUAUAUCCAAAAAUCUGCAGUGAUUGUCAUCAGCGAUCAGUCAUGAAGAGUAAUGGUUGUUUAUUUAAUGUAUUCCCUUGGUGACUUUCUCUGGAGCUCUUGGUUUUACCACGUUGUCUAGUCUAGCUUAGGGAAAGCUGUUGCAGUGUUUUGCAUCCCCCUUCUUUGAAAAGUGUACCACAGGUUUUUUCUUCUUCCCUUUAUUUUAUUUUUUUCCCAACCAAUUCCAUGUUCUUGUGCCAGCACAAAUGCUUCUUCUGCCUGCUUGAAGACCUCAGAGGUUCAUAGGCAGCUUUCAGACUGGAGUCUCUUACCCAGUAGGAGGGUGACUCCUUUCAGGCUGCACAUUUUUUAAAAUUUUUUUCUGAAUAUCUUGUGGUUUCUCGUGUGUUUUUUGUGAUGAAAUAAGAUGAAGUACAGUUUCUAGAUCUAAUUGUACAGGGGACCAUACAGGCAAAGAUGUGCAGCAGUAACUGUGUCUAGCACUGGCUGUUAGAUCUGUGUUCACCCAGCGAGGACUGCAUUGAUCUCACUGUCAAAGCUGUGGUCACAUUCUGUUGCAAAUUCGUGUUUAAUCUGCGUUUUUUUACGAAGCUGCCAACCCCCCGUCAUCGGUCACUCUCCCCACAGCAGAACUGGUGGGGCACGGCAGAUAAGAAGCUCUCCAGUUCUUCAGUGCCAAGCUUAAACUGCUGAUUUCAGCUGGCUACGUGAUUUCAUGGCCAGGAAGGCAGGGAAGAGCAGCCUCGAUGGCAGGGCCAUCAUGGGCAGCCGAGCAGAGUGACUUCUUGAGCAGGUCGUGCUAGAUAGACCAGCGACACCAACAAACCACACAUCAGCCCUAUCUGCACAUCAAAACAGCGUCCACCACCAACACCAGGCAGUCGUAACCCAUGAGGAGCUCAAAGAAGCUGACAUUUUAGCCCCACCAGUCCUUUGAUCCAAGUUGCUGUGGAAGAAUAUGACUCAGGCCCCAGUGGAAGAGGUGGAAACCCUAAACGUGAUCGAGGAGCCACAGCCGCUCCGGCUGGCCAAACUGCACCGCUGCUGAAUGUCAAACCUCAGCGCACGCUGCCCCGUUUCCAGGAACCAAGCUCGGGCUGUUCAUUCCAUCUGCCUCUCUUGCUGCCGUGUCUUUAGUGUCGUUAGUGGCUUCAGCUACUCGGAUGUCAGGUUCCUUGCAACCUGGCCAGAAUUCUGGCCCUCUGUGCUAUGCUGGUAUUGAAGUAACUGCUACAGCAAUAGGUCAGGUAGCGAUUAACUGCGUGUUUGUUUCUUUGAUAUUGCAGGUAGUCUGUGUGCUGGCUCGGUUAGGUUUACAUCCUCCGUUGAUGCCCGUGAUUCUAGAUUUGCCUUUACCUAGCAGUGAAAUCAGUUACCUAGUUCUGUAAACGCAGGUGCCCUGACUCCUUGUAACUGAGCAAGGUGAGGCUGAACUCAGUCAGGGAGUGUGAGUCCAGCAGUGCAAUUCUAGGAAAUCAUAUGGAAGAUGCAGGAUUCACACUGUCAUCUGGCAUCUUUUUGAAGUUAAGAAUUAUGGAGGUUUUUUCUUGUUGUUUUGUGGUUGCUUUUUAAUAUUCUUGUGCCAAGACUGAUUUCUCCCUAUUAAGGAAGGACUUGACUGGUUUGGUAAAAAGCAUCCUGACGUCUUCUUUAAUCGAUCGCUUUUAUACCUUGUGUUGUAUUUAUUGUGCUUAACGCUUGCUUUGAUAUUUUAUCCUAGUGCUGCUUCCAUUGUUUUACAAGUGACAUUUUCAUAGGAUUUGGCUUUAUGAAGCUAACGUUCAGUGAAGCUAGUAAAGACACAAAACCACAGCCUUAGUUCUCACAUCCUCUUCUACGAAAUUCAAGUUUAGUUUCAGUCUCUGCUGCUGUGCUCAGUCCUUCUACCCUUUGAAAACUACUCUUCCCUCUUAAAGAAUGAAUCCUGUUGAAGGCUAAGAAAUAUGAGGCAUUCCGAGUAGCGUAUUUUAAUGAAUAUUUGCACUUUAGUUGUGUAACCAUUUCAUCUGCUGCCAUUUUUCAGUUGCUUUGUGUUCAGAAUGAUUUUGCUGAUCCAAGCAUUUAUUUGCAGCUUUGCUUGCAAGUCUUGGUCACAACCUGGGCUUUGAUCUUUUGUCUUUGCAUUCAGAAAUCCCCAGAUGUUUACUGUUGUUAUUUUGCUUGUGAAACUUUAACUAAAGUUUUUAAUCAAAUUUUAGUCUCUGUAGCAUAUUUAUCUGUAGCUAAAUUUUUUUCACAAUUUAUGGACAAGCAAAUGCUUAUAAAUCUUUCAGCAUGGAGUAGUCUGACAAGGACAUGCAGAAUAAAAACGAGCAGCACAAGAUUACUCAUUGAACGUUUCCGUUAUCUUCAUAUUCUUGUACUGUUCCUAUUACUGGAUGUUAUACGGUGCUAUACUCUAGAUCCUGAAGCUUUACAGGAAAUAGCAAUUAUUACUGCCCUGGCUCUGUGGAUAAGAAACUGAGGCAAAGUGAGUUGGUUGCAGACAGCCGGUGACUGAGCCGAGACUGAAAGCCAGCUCUCCUGUGCUUCAAACACUCAAAGGAUGCAUGGGAUGGUGGCUGUGCAGUAGCAUAAAUGAUUGCAAAUUGUAACUAGUGAUGCAUACUUAAUGCAUAUCUUACUAUGCAUUUCUUUUAUUUGUUAUACACUUAGUUUAAUUAAUUUUUAAACACACUUUUUGAAGGGUAGCAGCAAGCAACGAGUCCCAGAGGGUAGUGUCUCUGACUAAUCUGUAUCAUGCUGUCAAUAACUGUUUUCCAUCCGAGCUUAGACUUCACACUGGUACACGAUCACACCUGAUACACCCUGUACGGACACCGUGGCUGGAGGUAAGAGCUGGCAAUGAAUAACUUUGCUGUUGUCAGAGCCUGUCUGAGCUUUGAAAAGACUGCUUUCCAUUUUCUUGCUUCUUUCUACUUUGUUCUCUCCUGCCUUUUUUUUUUUUUUCCUGAGGUUGUGUCAGAUCUGUGAAUAGCAAUGAGAAACAGCCAUGGUGCAUCUCUCUGGAUCAGGAACUGUAGUGCUUUGAAAUUUAAUUACUUCACAUUUAAAUGAGUGGGUAUCUGAUGUGGCUUGCACUAAGAGCAUUCCUGUUACAGAGCUCGUCCUCAGGCUGCUGAGCACGGAUUCUCUUGGGGGCUCUGACUGUCCCUGUCUCCAGGACAGACACCAGGGUAAGGGGACGGGUCACAGCUUCUGUACAUCAAGAAUGACGGCACUGUGCGAAGUUCUCCCACACUGUACUUCGACAGCAGCUGAUUUCUCUGUGUUACUCAUUAGGCAUAAAAAAAAAAAGAAAGGUCUUGUGAUAAAAUAAUUACAUACAGAUUUCACUUGCAUGGGAUAAUGUAUAUGAGUCUGCAGUCUCAGAGGUUGAGUGGUAGAUAAGUGAGAGAUCAAUGCUUUUUGGUCUAUAUUGUCUGUGGGGAGAGACUUUAGUCAGCAUACACUUCCUUUAUGUGCCUCAGCAGCACGUCGAACCCAUGCUACAAGUAAGCCGAAGAGCCCGUGAAACUCACUGCCAAACUGGUAAGUAACCCGUGGAACUCACCGCCACGAGAUACAGCUGCCAACAACACAACCAAACUUGGAAAAAGGUUGGGAAGUGCUGGUACCAAGAAUUAGAGAGCUCGUAAUAUUUGGGGAAGGAAGGGAAUGUGUGCGUGUUAAAGUACGUGUCUUAAGAAUGACAGUGUGAUUUGAUUUUAAGUGCUGAGCUGUCCAUAUAUUCAAGAGUUGCCUAUUGCAAGGAUUUUGGUAUCGUGCUUGCAUAACAGCUAGCUCAAUUCCCGUCACUCAGGAUGCUGGUUUUUACCACUAAGCACUGCGCUUGGUGGAAAGAGGGCUUAGGCCUGAUGCAAGGGCCUUGUAAGGUCAAAGCAGGCAAAGACAAAAGCAGAGUCAGGAGCACGUCUAACAAGUAAAAUCUGAAACCGAGGACACAGCGUGGUGCCAGGCUGCUGACAGAAUCCCAGCUUUCUUCGCGCUCUGGUCAGUUUAUGCCCUGAUGCAUUCAUUGCCAGAGGCAAGCAUCGCAGGCAUUUAUUCCAGACCUAACCUGUCACCACCGUCUAAUGGGUUAGCAGGAGGGGAGGGGGACUGCAUUGUAUAUUUGUGCCCUUCUCCUUCCAUUUUCCCCGGUAACCAGUCCUUAUUUACCAGAUGCAUCCAUUUGCCCACGUAGAGAAGAAAGGCUUCCUUCAGCCCCAGCGAAACCCGUGGCAGUUGUGCCAUUGAUGAAGAACGCGUGCACGGCGAGAGGGGGGCAGAGGAUUCAGCCCUCACGACUGCGUGCGGUUCUUCAUUCAUUGCUCUUAAGCAAGAGACCAGCUCAUCUGGGACCAGUGUCUGUUCUUGAACGUUUUCACUCGACAGUGUUUUUCCCCACUGACUUUCCAAAAGGGUGUUUUGUUCCUCCUGCGCUGAGC